CGACGCGUCUGCUUUGCUCCCUGCGCCUUUCGACAAAGCUAUUUCUGCCGCACGAAGUGGAUCUCUCCAGGCUGACCGGCUCCCCAUUUCUUCAAAGAGAUGCUGUGACGCAUAAUUGGUGCCUGUCGCCAUGCGGCUAGCAGAGUAGCAUCGCUCCUGCGCCGUGGGGAUUUGGCAGAGGGCAUGUUGGCUUCCAAGAACAAAACAUGACAAAAAGGCAUCCCCCAAAAGCCAGAAGGGUCUCCAUCCGUUCCUUACUCAGCCAGUGAAAAAUAUCCUCAUGCGGCUGCUUCCAAAGAUGGGACUCAGGAACCAAAGUCUUCAUGAAAUAAAAUAAAAAGGACAGCAAAGGGGAAAAUGACGGUUUGUUUGACAAAAUCCUGCAGAUGCAGGGAGAGAACAGACCUGAGGAAUCUCUUAUUCUGUCCUCCUCUCGUUGUUCCAUUAUGACAAAUAAACUUAAAUAAAGAAGUGUUUCA
rnacentral:lncRNA from 1 species